rnacentral:tRNA from 2 species
ACUACGUUAGUAUAUUAAAGUACAAUUGCCUUCCACGCAAACAGAUUGAGCAAACUCAACCGUAGUU